rnacentral:rRNA from 1 species
AGAGUUUGAUCCUGGCUCAGGAUUAACGCUGGCGGCAUGCCUAAUACAUGCAAGUCGAACGAGGGUAGCAAUACCCUAGUGGCGAACGGGUGAGUAACACGUAGGAAACCUGCCUCAAAGUCGAGAAUAACUACUGGAAACGGUAGCUAAAGCUGGAUAGGAUAUCAGAAGGCAUCUUUUGAUAUUUAAAAGUCCUAAGGGAAUGCUUUGAGAUGGUCCUGCGGCGCAUUAGCUAGUUGGUGAGGUAGAGGCUUACCAAGGCGACGAUGCGUAGCUGUGCUGAGAGGCAAAACAGCCACACUGGGACUGAGACACGGCCCAGACUCCUACGGGAGGCAGCAGUAGGGAAUUUUCGGCAAUGGGCGAAAGCCUGACCGAGCAAUGCCGCGUGAAUGAAGAAGUUCUUCGGAAUGUAAAAUUCUGUUGUGAGGGAAGAAAGCUAGUAUCAGGGAAUGGGUAGUAGUUGACGGUACCUUACUAGAAAGCUCCGGCUAACUAUGUGCCAGCAGCCGCGGUAAUACAUAGGGAGCGAGCGUUAUCCGGAAUUAUUGGGCGUAAAGCGUGCGUAGGUGGUUAUUUAAGUCUGUCGUGAAAGCCCACAGCUUAACUGUGGAGGGUCGAUGGAAACUGGGUAACUUGAAUCUAGAAGAGGUAAGUGGAAUUCCAUGUGUAGCGGUAAAAUGCUUAGAUAUAUGGAGGAACACCAGUGGCGAAGGCGGCUUACUGGUCUAGGAUUGACACUGAGGCACGAAAGCGUGGGUAGCAAACAGGAUUAGAUACCCUGGUAGUCCACGC